rnacentral:rRNA from 1 species
GAUGAACGCUGGCGGCGUGCCUAAUACAUGCAAGUCGAGCGAACGGACGAGAAGCUUGCUUCUCUGAUGUUAGCGGCGGACGGGUGAGUAACACGUGGAUAACCUACCUAUAAGACUGGGAUAACUUCGGGAAACCGGAGCUAAUACCGGAUGAUAUUUUGAACCGCAUGGUUCAAAAGUGAAAGACGGUCUUGCUGUCACUUAUAGAUAGAUCCGCGCUGCAUUAGCUAGUUGGUAAGGUAACGGCUUACCAAGGCAACGAUGCAUAGCCGACCUGAGAGGGUGAUCGGCCACACUGGAACUGAGACACGGUCCAGACUCCUACGGGAGGCAGCAGUAGGGAAUCUUCCGCAAUGGGCGAAAGCCUGACGGAGCAACGCCGCGUGAGUGAUGAAGGUCUUCGGAUCGUAAAACUCUGUUAUUAGGGAAGAACAUAUGUGUAAGUAACUGUGCACAUCUUGACGGUACCUAAUCAGAAAGCCACGGCUAACUACGUG